ACCAUGUAAAGUUUCACACAUUAGAAAUGAAUUCAGCAUUCUAAUACAAACAUGCACUGAUGAACACUUCUCUAUUUAAGUUCCUGAGAGUACAUAUUGUAACCUGAAAGUCUAUUUACUGUUAUUUAGAAGUUUGAAUCUAAACCUACAACAUUUGCAAAAUCUGCAUCUACUCAACAAUACAAUUCGGUGUGCAUUAUUUCGACAAUAAGUUCUAUGGGGAUGUAUUCUACACAACUCGAUCAAGAACUCGGGUAUUGGUAGUAAAUUAAAGCAAAUUUAAUUAGAUAAUAUCUUCACCAUCUCUAUAUUAUCAUAACCCUAAAAAAUAUAUAUCCAUGCACUUUGGAAGUGAUAUCAUACAAAUGAACAUGAUAUAAGCAUACAAUAAUCGGCAAACUUAGAAGCUCUCAAAUGUGUACUGUUGAUUUAAAAAAAAUUAUUUACGAAUUUUUCACUUCAUACAUAUAUCACUGUUGCAUACAUAUGGGAAAUAGGUUACAUGGAUAUUUUCACACAUAUUCAUUUGGAAAUACGAACUCAAUAACAUAAGGUAUACUGUCUACAUUUCAUAUUCAUCUUAUUCUUUUAUGUAAGCAUAUAUGUGAUGUAAACUUCUUUUUCAGAGAGAGAGAGAGAGAGAGAGAGAGAGAGAGAGAGAGAGAGAGAGAGAGAGAGAGAGAGAGAGGGGGGGGGGGAAAGGUACAUAAGUAUUAUUUUCUUGGUAACAUAUUUUGAUAACUAUAAUACAUGUACAUGUAGAUCUAGAUAUGAUUUACAAUGUAUCUAUUGAUCAAACCAAACAACACACAAAAAGAAAAGAAAGAAAAAAGAAACACAAUCGUAUUUGAUGAAAAAGUACCUAUAGACCUACAUGUAUAUACUGAUCAUGCAUAUGAGUUUUCACAUAUUCUCUGCCAGUGAAUUUCAUAAUCAUCAUGUCUACAGUUUCUUAGCAGCAAGUACUUCUCAACCACAAUUCUGUCCGUAACUAUUUUUCUAAUCGCAGAUAUAUGUACUUGCGGACUAUUUUGAUAUUUACAAGAAAAAAUAUAUUGUUUUACUACAAGCAAAUCAAAUUUUGAAUGUCUAACUGUUGAUUUUUAUUAUACAUUUGUAGAAUCAAUAUUUUAUUUUUACUGACAUGCAUCCCGACUGAGAUAUUAAUUAGAGAAAAAGAAACUUAAGCAAUUACUUGAAUUUAGUAUGUAGUUCCUGUGUUUCAUCUAUCAUCUAAGGAUUUCAACGGUUUAGUUCAGUAAAAAUUGAGACUCCAGUAGUUCAGAAACCACUUUAAAUGAAAGUAAAUGGUUGAGGGGCACACGUACAUGUGUUUACAAAUAUCCUUGACAAUUGCGAGGCGAAAUUAAUGUGUUGCUAAGAAAAAAGCAGUUCAUUCUUCAAAACAUUUCCAUGUAUUUAGUUAUCUCACAUGCAGAAUGCUCAGUCUUGUAUAUACCCUUGCUUUAUAGCUCAUAUUGUGAGAACAGAGAAAAGUCGGGCAGAAGAGGGGCACCUUAUAAUACCCCAUAAAGAUGCAGAAGAAAGUUUGUGUGACUGUAUGCUACACCGGUAUUGAGUUUAUUUCAUGAUUUUUAGACCUCUAAUAAACGUAAACUUUUCAUUAUAACCCAACAUAAAGCACACUACAGAUUAUUUACAUUUAAAAUUGUAGACAAAGGGCGGCCAUUUUGAACUUAGGGUCGCAGGGACGCUAUUUAAAAAAAUCCUAUGAUAUAGAAAAACGAUGCAGAAAUUUAACACAUGCAUGAUUUUUUAAAUUCAGACGUUUGUGAAACAAUUUACACACAAAAUAAAUUAUAUAUCUAUAAAAGUAUGUUUUCCCAUAAAUCCUCUCCUGAUCGCUGAUUGGUUGUAAUUUUCGGCGGGCAAAAUUGAUUGUUGUUUGUGAGAGAAAACCUAGCGUGACUCAAAUGGAACCAUGUCAUGUUUUGAUUGAAUGGAAGAUCCAAAGAUUUUUCUGAGAAUAGGAGACGUCUACUGUUGUUGGGCAUCAUUCAGGUAUGUCUUUUAGAGGGUAUUGAGUAAAAAUUUCUGGAACUUUUUAAAACAAUCUUCCAUUAUGCAUCCUCACUGAAUAUUUUAGUAUGAGUCUGUCCAUAGCCAAUACUGGCAAUUGCCGUCUCAUUUAAACGAUUUUUGACGGGAUAUCAUGUUAUCUCUGACUAUACAAAUUUUCCUUUUCUCAUAAAAGAGCAAUGACAUUUAAUAUUCAUUUCAUAAUCACAACAGAACACAUCAAAACAUGCUUGAUAUUCACCUUUUAGAAUUUUGAAUACCAAAAAAAAAAAAUAUAUUAAAAAAUAUCCUGUCCCGAUUCGGAAACAGGACGUUAUCUAACCUAUUCUUUCUCUCUAUAUAUCAUUGUAGGUAUUUCCGGUGUUGACUUGAAACGUUUUCAUUCACGAUGUGGCGGAUUCAUCAUUGCAUUUGCAUGGGGUAGUGCAUAUGUUGUGUAUGGCCUUCUAAACGAUAAAUCUAUGGAUUAAAGGAUGAACAGGUCGAUGCAGGAAUAUUCAUUCUAAUGAUAAGGAAAUACGAAAUGCAAGGACAACCUCCAAGCAUGCAGUAUGCCUUAUACAAACAAUGAUGGGAUGUUCCAUUAUAUGGUGGCGCCCAGUUUUUAUUGGUGGAAGAGAGAACCCAGAUACAAUGUACCUGGGAAGAGACCUGAUCAACCUUCCGAAAGUAAACUGGGAAACUUUCUCACUUAACGGCAUGAGCGGGAUUGGAACCCUUGCCAACAGAGAAUCCUGAAGUGAUCUUGUACAUGUAAAUGCAUGCAGUGGUGGAUUCAGGAUUUGUUAAAGGGGGGAUAGGGCUCCAGGGUUUUGAGGCUUUUUAGAACUAGAUGAGCAGAAGAUGCAUUCCAUGACUGACUCCCCAUAUGAUAUGAAAGAGAGCCCAUGAGAAUGGAACCAACUUUCAGUGUUACAAUGGAUGAACACUCCUCCUGUCACAAGUCCAUCUUGAUUCAGUAAAGUGGUAGUCUAUUUAUCUAGGAAGCAACAAGACGGAUCUGGACAAGGACCAUAUUGACUCAAGUUUUGAUGUCAGAAGACCAUUUUGAUUACACAUGUUAAAAGCACCACAGAAGUAAGAAGCUAGGAUACCAGUUUUAUAAACUAAAGAGUCGAAAGGCCCAGCUGGAGAGAAAUUCCCAUUUCUCGACCAAGGACAAAAAAAAAAAGAUUAAAAAGGUGCUGACUAAGGAGGCAACGUCUCCAGAAGUAAAGGAUGAUGAGGAAGCCACCCAGAGGAAGGUCUUACCAUUUAUAUGGGAGUCAUCCCUGCUGCGUAAUGUUAAGUGCGACCUGGACAGAGAGUAUGCUGAAUCUUUGCAACUUCAAUCAAAGAGACAAAAAGCCAAGGCCAUUAGAAGUAGAACGGAAAUGACUAUGACCCCACCACCUAGGAGCAUUCAAGAGUGGGCCGUUUCCUCUACUUAUAAAUGAUGCUAUUACUGUUAAUAGUUAUAUUUAAUUUCCUCAUUUCUAGCUCACCUGAGCCAAAGGCUCAAGGUCACAAUUAAUACUUUGAUACCAUUAUAACCAGUUUUUAUGAAAUUUUAAUAAUGCUGUUGAAGGAGAAUUGCAAUUUUUUCGGAUGUUUAUAAUUGACACUGUUUAAGUAUGUCUAGCAUCUUAAAAAGUGUAAUGACCUAUAUAUUUCAUUUGAUAAUUUAUUAAUUUUAACUUUAAUAAAUUGAAAUAAAUGCAUUUUUGAUACUUUUAUCAGAGAAUAUUGCAAGUAUGGAGUUACCUUGAUAUAUUUAUACAGAUUUGUUCUGCUUUAGUACUAGUGUAUCAGUAUUAUUACAUCAAGUUCAUUUGUGUGAAUAUUAUAAUAUUUAAGAAUGAAUAAAACUGUCAAAUUGUG